rnacentral:rRNA from 1 species
CCCUUAGAUGUUCUGGGCCGCACGCGCGCUACACUGAUGCAUUCAACGAGUCUAAAACCUGGUCUGAUAGGGCUGGGUAAUCUUUUGAAAGUGCAUCGUGAUUGGGAUAGAUGAUUGCAAUUCUUCAUCUUCAACGAGGAAUGCCUAGUAAACGCAAGCCAUCAGCUUGCAUUGAUUACGUCCCUGCCCUUUGUACACACCGCCCGUCGCUCCUACCGAUUGAAUGAUCCGAUGAAUACCAUGGAUUGAGAGUACGAAUGGGUUCGCUCAUUUCUGCUGCUCGAGAAGUGGAGUAAAUCUUAUCAUUUAGAGGAAGGAGAAGUCGUAACA